ACAACCACAGCGACCUGGUGUUGAGCACUUUCUGGGCACCUAGCCCAUGAUGGGCCCUAUGGAUUCACAGCCUAUCUGUUCUCGCAGCUGCCGACAGAAGCAGGUAUCCCUAAUUCCAUUUUGCAGAAGAGGAAACUGAGGGCCAGAGAGGUACUUGCCCAAAUAUUCAGCUGGGAACUGGCAGAGACGGAUUUGAAUCCAGGACCCCCCAGCCCCGGCACGGAGCCAGGACAACAGAAAGUCCCGGGACUGAGUGGGGCUGGGGGGUGAGCUCUGAGUGCAGGACUCAGGAGGUCCAUUUAUCACCUGCUUCCCAACCUUAGCAACUUCAGGAACCGCCCCCACGCCCCCGACUUCAACGUACUUGGAGAUCGCAAACUGGUGGCCUUUGCUUAGCAUCUGGCCCGCAGACACGGCCAGUUUGGCUUGUGCGAAUUUGAAAACGAGUUAGCUGCCAACAGGGAAGAGCUGGGAUGUUUCAAAUAAAUACUGAGUUCCUAUUUCUCUUGAAGGGAGCGAUCUGGCCACUCUGAGCGCGCAUUCCUGUGGGGUGCCGUGAGCUGGCCCCUGCAGACAGGGCAUGUGCUGUCCGGUUCGCCACCGCCCCCACCCGGCCUGACUCACUGGUCCGCAGGACCUGCCGAGCCCUGGGGGGCAUCUGAGCCGGCAGUGGCUCCAAGCUCACGGCACAUCACUGAGACACAGGGCUGUCGAGGACCUGGAUGGAGAAGGUGUUGCUUCUAGUCCCUUGCUCUGGGCCCCACGGGCUGGGGACCGCCAGCGGCCGCUGCCCUUCCCACCGUCUCCCCGGGAGCUUGCGGAAGCCCAUGAGGCCGGCACUGUGACGGUGCCCGUCCUGUGGAGCAAAGAGCAGGCUUGGAGAGAAGGGCCCCCAGUCUUCCAGAAGGCUCUGACAGCUGUGAGCAGAGCUCCACCCACUUCUCUGCAAGCAGCCCCUGCGUGUCCAAUCCCGUCUGCAGCGCCGGACUGGCCAGGCUCACAAUGCCUGCAAGACGGCAGAGCCCUCCCACCCAGCUGGGCCACCAGCCCCAACCCCUGCCAGCCCAGUGACCCAGAGCGGCCGGUGGCAGGAGGGGGCUGCUGAGGCUCUGAUGGCAGAGGAACAGGGCUGGAGGCUCCCGCGGCGCGCAACCCCCGCCCAGAAGGCCCUCGCAGGAGGGACCAGCUGGUGAAAUCUCGCUAUAGGUGAUGCUGACCCUGGGCAGCGGCUCUAGAAGGGCUCCGCUGUUGCCUGCUUGGCCCCUCCUCCCUCCGGCCGCUCCACCGCUCCACCGUCGGAGCCCCUCUUCCUGGAGCCCCGGCUCCCCCUCCACUUCAUGGUUUGCAUCAGAGUCGUCCUGUUUCGACACCGAGUCACUUGGCCUUCGCCGCUCAUCAUCACACAGCCACUGACAGAACUGUCCGAUGACCAUCUACUUACACACGUGUUGUUAACUGAGCACCUGCUCCGCGUGGGUGUCAGAAGGCCCUUGCACGGAGGAGGAAACUGAGGCUUUCAGCGGUCGCGAGACUCACUGUGGGGCCCACCCACUGCCCAGACUGGACGCCCACAUCCCACGGGUCCUCAAUCCCUUCUGCUAAUUCCUCCCAAACCCCUCUCCCCAUCACCACUGGUGUCCUGUCUGUGCCACCUCUCAGGGGCCGCUCUGGCCCUUAACCCAUUCUCCGCACAGCAGCCUGAGGGAUUGUCU